rnacentral:rRNA from 1 species
UACGGGGGGAGCAAGCGUUGUUCGGAUUUACUGGGCGUAAAGGGCGCGUAGGCGGUCAGCACAAGUCAGUUGUGAAAGCCCCGGGCUCAACCUGGGAAUGGCGAUGGAUACUGGCUCGCUAGAGUGCGGUAGAGGAGAGUGGAAUUCCCGGUGUAGCAGUGAAAUGCGUAGAGAUCGGGAGGAACAUCAGUUGCGAAGGCGGCUCUCUGGACCAGCACUGACACUGAGGCACGAAAGCGUGGGGAGCAAACAGG